CGGGAGAGGCCUGCCUCCAGCUUUUGCUCUAGCUCCUGCAGCUCGGCCUCCUGUCUCCGCGGCGUCUCAUCCUGCAGUUGCUGCUGGAGAUGCUGUACGGAGGGAUGAGACAUCACCGGACGUGCACACAGCAGGAUAGCAGUAAAGGGAAGAGAGCCAGUCUGCCAAGCUGCUUCCCCCUCGCCGGAAGCCACAGUGUCCCUGUGGCCCUUGGGACAACACUACGUUUUGCAGCCUGUGUGAGCAGUGGCCUGCUCUCUCUCUAGCCCCAUCCCUCCUCUGCCACAGCCUUGUCCUCUUCCCUGUCCGGUCCUGUUUCCGCCUGUCUCUUCCGACAUGUUCCUGGUGGCCACAAUGCUGUUUUCUGCCCGGGGAAUACCUGAUUUCAGCGUCACGGUCCAGCCCGUGUGCUCUCCUUUUGGCACAAACACGCUGGUUCCUCUUCUUUGCGGUGUCCACAGUGUCCUUCCUGCCCCUCCAGUGUAGACUACCACCACACCAACCGUCUGCCACGACUGACUCCCUAAGCUGAUCCUGCUGCUUCCCAGCUGUGUGACCUUUCCUAUGCUAUUGAACCUCUCUGGUCCUCUAUGUCUGCACCAUCAGAGAAAUGAGGCCAAAGACUGACAGAAGUAACUACUAUGCUGAUGAUAUUGGGGUGGUUGGCUGUCUGCCACACAAAGGCUCGGGCAUGAGUGAGUGGGCUUCUCUGAUGAUAUUGGGGUGGUUGGCUGUCUGUUGGGCUUCUCUUCAUCCUAAAAGCCUGUGGAGAUGGGUCCAGCUUUCUGUCUUGGAUUCUACCAUUUCCUAUUGCUUAUGUCAUUAUUAAGUGAGAUUAUAUAUUCCUCACAGUGGGGACAAGUUCUCUGCCCUCCAAGACUCAUAGGCCACAAUUAAAUCUCUAUAAGAUUCUGCCUUA